GAUGAACGCUGACAGAAUGCUUAACACAUGCAAGUCGACUUGAAUUUGGGUUUUUAACUUAGGUUUGGGUGGCGGACGGGUGAGUAACGCGUAAAGAACUUGCCUCACAGCUAGGGACAACAUUUGGAAACGAAUGCUAAUACCUAAUAUUAUGAUAAUAGGGCAUCCUAUAAUUAUGAAAGCUAUAAGCGCUGUGAGAGAGCUUUGCGUCCCAUUAGCUAGUUGGAGAGGUAACGGCUCACCAAGGCGAUGAUGGGUAGCCGGCCUGAGAGGGUGAUCGGCCACAAGGGGACUGAGACACGGCCCUUACUCCUACGGGAGGCAGCAGUGGGGAAUAUUGGACAAUGGACCGAGAGUCUGAUCCAGCAAUUCUGUGUGCACGAUGAAGUUUUUCGGAAUGUAAAGUGCUUUCAGUUGGGAAGAAACAAAUGACGGUACCAACAGAAGAAGUGACGGCUAAAUACGUG
rnacentral:rRNA from 1 species